rnacentral:ncRNA from 1 species
UACACGAAAAGGCAAACUCAGGGAAACCUGAUGUGCGCAAAGCUAUAGGGGCUUCAUCCUUAAACAGGAUAUGCUCGCCAGCUGCCGAA